UAGGGAAUCUUCCGCAAUGGACGAAAGUCUGACGGAGCAACGCCGCGUGAGUGAAGAAGGAUUUCGGUUCGUAAAACUCUGUUGUUAGGGAAGAAAAAAUGUAUAGUAACUAUAUACAAAAGAGACGGUACCUACCAGAAAGCCACGGCUAACUACGUGCCAGCAGCCGCGGUAAUACGUAGGUGGCAAGCGUUGUCCGGAAUUAUUGGGCGUAAAGCGCGCGCAGGUGGUUUAGAAAGUCUGAUGUGAAAGCCCACGGCUCAACCGUGGAGGGUCAUUGGAAACUAAUAAACUUGAGUGCAGGAGAGAAAAGUGGAAUUCCUAGUGUAGCGGUGAAAUGCGUAGAGAUUAGGAGGAACACCGGUGGCGAAAGCGGCUUUUUGGCCUGCAACUGACACUGAGGCGCGAAAGCGUGGGGAGCAAACAGG
rnacentral:rRNA from 1 species